rnacentral:misc_RNA from 1 species
CCAAUAGCGUAUAUUAAAGUUGUUGCAGUUAAAAAGCUCGUAGUUGAAUUUCGGGAUCAAUAUGUCGGUCGUGCCUUCGGUACGUACUGGUAUCAUUGGUUUCUCCUUUCUGACGAACCAUGAUGUCAUUAAUUUGGUGUUAUGGGGAGUUAGGACUGUUACUUUGAAAAAAUUAGAGUGUUUAAAGCAGGCUUUAGCUUGAAUACAUUAGCAUGGAAUAAUGAAAUAGGACGUUCGAACCUAUUUUGUUGGUUUCUAGGAUCAACGUAAUGAUUAAUAGGGAUAGUUGGGGGCAUUAGUAUUCAAUUGUCAGAGGUGAAAUUCUUGGAUUUAUUGAAGACUAACUACUGCGAAAGCAUUUGCCAAGGAUGUUUUCAUUAAUCAAGAACGAAAGUUAGGGGAUCGAAGACGAUCAGAUACCGUCGUAGUCUUAACCAUAAACUAUGCCGACUAGGGAUCGGAUGAUGUUAAUUUUUUAAUGACUCAUUCGGCGCCUACG